UACGUAGGUCCCGAGCGUUGUCCGGAUUUAUUGGGCGUAAAGCGAGCGCAGGUGGUUUAUUAAGUCUGGUGUAAAAGGCAGUGGCUCAACCAUUGUAUGCAUUGGAAACUGGUAGACUUGAGUGCAGGAGUGGAGAGUGGAAUUCCAUGUGUAGCGGUGAAAUGCGUAGAUAUAUGGAGGAACACCGGUGGCGAAAGCGGCUCUCUGGCCUGUAACUGACACUGAGGCUCGAAAGCGUGGGGAGCAAACAGG
rnacentral:rRNA from 1 species